UACGUAGGGUGCAAGCGUUGUCCGGAAUUAUUGGGCGUAAAGAGCUCGUAGGCGGUCUGUCACGUCGGCUGUGAAAACCCGGAGCUCAACUCCGGGCCUGCAGUCGAUACGGGCAGACUGGAGUUCGGCAGGGGAGACUGGAAUUCCUGGUGUAGCGGUGAAAUGCGCAGAUAUCAAGAGGAACACCUGAGGUGAAGACGGGUUGCUGGGCUGAUACUGACGCUGAGGCGCGAAAGCUAGGGUAGCAAACGGG
rnacentral:rRNA from 1 species